rnacentral:rRNA from 1 species
UUGGAGGGCAAGUCUGGUGCCAGCAGCCGCGGUAAUUCCAGCUCCAAUAGCGUAUAUUAAAGUUGCUGCAGUUAAAAAGCUCGUAGUUGAAUUUCGGGACCAUCAUGUCGGUCGUGCCUCGGUACGUACUGGCAUUGUUGGUUUCUCCCUUCUGACGAACCAUGAUGUCAUUUAUUUGGUGUCGUGGGGAAUCAGGACUGUUACUUUGAAAAAAUUAGAGUGUUUAAAGCAGGCUCACGCUUGAAUACAUUAGCAUGGAAUAAUGAAAUAGGACGUUUGAUUCUAUUUUGUUGGUUUCUAGGAUCGACGUAAUGAUUAAUAGGGAUAGUUGGGGGCAUUAGUAUUCAAUUGUCAGAGGUGAAAUUCUUGGAUUUAUUGAAGACUAACUACUGCGAAAGCAUUUGCCAAGGAUGUUUUCAUUAAUCAAGAACGAAAGUUAGGGGAUCGAAGACGAUCAGAUACCGUCGUAGUCUUAACCAUAAACUAUGCCGACUAGGGAUCGGAUGAUGUUAAUUUUUUAAUGACUCAUUCGGCGCCUUACGGGAAAC